ACAACGAAGAGUUUGAUCCUGGCUCAGGAUGAACGCUAGCGGCAGGCCUAAUACAUGCAAGUCGGACGGUAAGCGCCCCUUCGGGGGCGC
rfam:Bacterium P201 scaffold_4, whole genome shotgun sequence.